rnacentral:rRNA from 1 species
GCUUAACACAUGCAAGUCGCACGAGAACGCUUCAGCUUGCUGGAGCUAGUAAAGUGGCGCACGGGUGAGUAACGCGUGGGUAAUCUACCUCCAAAUUGGGGAUAACAUUGCGAAAGCGAUGCUAAUACCGAAUAAUAUCUUAAAAACUUCGGUUUUUGAGAUCAAAGGUGGCCUCUCCAUGGAAGCUACUGUUAGGAGAUGAGCCCGCGUACCAUUAGCUUGUUGGUAGGGUAAUGGCCUACCAAGGCAACGAUGGUUAGCUGGUCUGAGAGGAUGAUCAGCCACACUGGAACUGACACACGGUCCAGACUCCUACGGGAGGCAGCAGUGAGGAAUUUUGCGCAAUGGGGGAAACCCUGACGCAGCAACGCCGCGUGAGUGAUGAAGGCUUUCGGGUCGUAAAGCUCUGUCAAGUGGGAAGAACCUGCCCUGUGCUAAUAUCACCGGGCACUGACGGUACCACUGAAGGAAGCACCGGCUAACUCCGUG